rnacentral:tRNA from 1 species
UUUAGUAUGGCAGAUUAGUGCCAUGAAUUUAAGCUUCAUUCAAAAAGUAAAACUUUUAUUAAAA